CUCAAACCCAACGCCUUUCCCGGGAAGCACAACGGGAGUGAAGGAAACACAGACGGUCCCGACGGAAUCGUGGGAUCGCGGAGGUUGGAAAAGACCACUGAGGUCAUCCAGGCUGACCGUUCUGCUCCGGGUGCUGCUGGAGUUUCCAUUGGUUCGGCAGCACGAAGCCGCGUGUAAAGGGGAAACGCACUGCCAGAUAGAGUGUAAGAGCUGCCACACGGCUCCCAUUUCUCCCAGCUAUUUGGCUCUGCGUGGAUCUUCAGCCUCUGCACUACUUGUGAUGCUGGCAUUGUCACGAAGGGGAGGAACCCGUGGUGGAUGAGAGGGUUCUCUUCACCCUACAACACCCUACAAGAGGGGCACCCCAACUUGCUGGGUCUCCAUCCCACCUCUGCGGGGAUCGCCCCAAUUUCUGCCUCCCUGCAGCAGAUUUUCUGCACAAAAAUAGGAACUCGGUCCUACAGUGCCAUCUCGUGACACACACAUGUAGGAGAGUCUUCCUACACCAUUCCUGGGGAUAACUGUGCGCUAUGGGAUGGCGUUACAGUCAAAGGUGGAGGAAAUCUGCAUGCAAUUUGGGCAGCAGUGCAAAAUGCUGCACGAGGGCAGCAAUUGGCAGUGAUUUCCACCCACUGCAGAGACACGGGGAGAGGAGAGGAGAUCCUAACCCAAAGGGAAACCUUCCACAACCCCAACCCAAAGGGAAAACCUUCUGCUCUCCCAACCCAAAGGGAAACC
rnacentral:lncRNA from 1 species